AUGGCUCUUGAAGAGGCGAAUGCGGAGCGCAUUCGUUUGGAUAAAGUUGUUGCCAGCCUUCAGGCUGAGGUUCAGGCCCGGGAGGUCGCGGUUACAGACCUUACUGCCCGCGUGUCUGUUGCGGAGGAGCGGGCUGAUGCCGCUGUUGAGGCCAAGGAUGCCUUGGUGUCCUCUUUUGACCAGCUGAAGGCUGACCGUGAGUGGUUGCGGACUCACGGUAUCGCGCGUAUUGUUGAGGCUAUCAUGGAUGCC